rnacentral:rRNA from 1 species
UACGUAGGGUGCGAGCGUUGUCCGGAAUUAUUGGGCGUAAAGAGCUUGUAGGUGGUUUGUCGCGUCUGCUGUGAAAAUCCGAGGCUCAACCUCGGACUUGCAGUGGGUACGGGCAGACUAGAGUGUGGUAGGGGAGACUGGAAUUCCUGGUGUAGCGGUGAAAUGCGCAGAUAUCAGGAGGAACACCGAUGGCGAAGGCAGAUCUCUGGGCCGUAACUGACGCU